rnacentral:rRNA from 1 species
AGAGAUGUGUGAUGACGCAUAUCAAUAAGCGGAGGAAAAGAAACUAACAAGGAUUCCCUUAGUAACGGCGAGUGAAGCGGGAAGAGCUCAAAUUUGAAAUCUUCAAGGUUCUACCUUGACGAAUUGUAGUUUAUAGAAGUGUUUUCUGUUAGUGGAGUGGCAAAAGUUCUUUGGAAUAGGACAUCAUAGAGGGUGAGAAUCCCGUAUUUGGUCAUUCCUCCUAGCGUUGUGAUACACUUUCAACGAGUCGGAUUGUUUGGGAAUGCAGUCCAAAAUGGGUGGUAAAUUUCAUCUAAAGCUAAAUAUUGGCGAGAGACCGAUAGCGAACAAGUACCGUGAGGGAAAGAUGAAAAGAACUUUGAAAAGAGAGUUAAACAGUACGUGAAAUUGUCAAAAGGGAAGCGUUUGACACCAGUGUUGUUUUUCCGAAAAUCAAUUACGAAUGUUUUAUUUUUGAGAAGUUAUGACUUCAUCGGCUUGCUUCUCUCUUUAUGAAACUUUCUUAAUGCACUUUUCGGUUAACAAGUCAACAUCAAUUUCUCUUGUUGUAAAAGGGUUAUGAGGAAGGUGGCUUUACUUUUCGGAGUAAAGUGUUUAUAGCCUUUGUACCUCUGCAAUCGGAGAGAUUGAGGUCUGCAGCGUAGAUCCUUCGGGGUUAGAUACAUUUGUGCUAAGUUAUAGCUUUUCAUAGACAACUUGUUGACUAUGUUUAGUCUUGUAGCUUACUCGCUUAUGCUAUUUUACCUACGCUUAGGAUGUUGAAGAUGUAGCACAUCAU